GAGAAAGUGAAGGAAAAUCUGUCUCAGUUAAAAGAUGAAUUGGAAGACUUACUUAAGCAUGGUGUAGAACAGAUUUCCAUGAGGGCUAGAGCGAUAAGAAUAGUCCCUCCCAAUGAGCUCUUGAGCAGACAAGACUUCUUAACAUACUUGUGUCAACUCAAUCUAGAUCCCAACACAGCAGACCCGAGACUUCAUUUGUCUGAUAGUAAUAAAGAAGUCACUUGUAAAAACAAGCAGUCAUAUCCUGACAAUCCAGAAAGGUUUGACUAUUGGACCCAAGUGCUGUGUAAGGAGGCUGUGACUGGAAGAUGCUACUG